rnacentral:rRNA from 1 species
GGUUAAGCGACUAAGCGUACACGGUGGAUGCCCUGGCAGUCAGAGGCGAUGAAGGACGUGCUAAUCUGCGAUAAGCGUCGGUAAGGUGAUAUGAACCGUUAUAACCGGCGAUUUCCGAAUGGGGAAACCCAGUGUGAUUCGUCACACUAUCAUUAACUGAAUCCAUAGGUUAAUGAGGCGAACCGGGGGAACUGAAACAUCUAAGUACCCCGAGGAAAAGAAAUCAACCGAGAUUCCCCCAGUAGCGGCGAGCGAACGGGGAGCAGCCCAGAGCCUGAAUCAGUGUGUGUGUUAGUGGAAGCGUCUGGAAAGGCGCGCGAUACAGGGUGACAGCCCCGUACACAAAAAUGCACAUGCUGUGAGCUCGAUGAGUAGGGCGGGACACGUGGUAUCCUGUCUGAAUAUGGGGGGACCAUCCUCCAAGGCUAAAUACUCCUGACUGACCGAUAGUGAACCAGUACCGUGAGGGAAAGGCGAAAAGAACCCCGGCGAGGGGAGUGAAAAAGAACCUGAAACCGUGUACGUACAAGCAGUGGGAGCACAGAGCAAUCUGUGUGACUGCGUACCUUUUGUAUAAUGGGUCAGCGACUUAUAUUCUGUAGCAAGGUUAACCGAAUAGGGGAGCCGAAGGGAAACCGAGUCUUAACUGGGCGUUAAGUUGCAGGGUAUAGACCCGAAACCCGGUGAUCUAGCCAUGGGCAGGUUGAAGGUUGGGUAACACUAACUGGAGGACCGAACCGACUAAUGUUGAAAAAUUAGCGGAUGACUUGUGGCUGGGGGUGAAAGGCCAAUCAAACCGGGAGAUAGCUGGUUCUCCCCGAAAGCUAUUUAGGUAGCGCCUCGUGAAUUCAUCUCCGGGGGUAGAGCACUGUUUCGGCAAGGGGGUCAUCCCGACUUACCAACCCGAUGCAAACUGCGAAUACCGGAGAAUGUUAUCACGGGAGACACACGGCGGGUGCUAACGUCCGUCGUGAAGAGGGAAACAACCCAGACCGCCAGCUAAGGUCCCAAAGUCAUGGUUAAGUGGGAAACGAUGUGGGAAGGCCCAGACAGCCAGGAUGUUGGCUUAGAAGCAGCCAUCAUUUAAAGAAAGCGUAAUAGCUCACUGGUCGAGUCGGCCUGCGCGGAAGAUGUAACGGGGCUAAACCAUGCACCGAAGCUGCGGCAGCGACGCUGAUGCGUUGUUGGGUAGGGGAGCGUUCUGUAAGCCUGUGAAGGUGUGCUGUGAGGCAUGCUGGAGGUAUCAGAAGUGCGAAUGCUGACAUAAGUAACGAUAAAGCGGGUGAAAAGCCCGCUCGCCGGAAGACCAAGGGUUCCUGUCCAACGUUAAUCGGGGCAGGGUGAGUCGACCCCUAAGGCGAGGCCGAAAGGCGUAGUCGAUGGGAAACAGGUUAAUAUUCCUGUACUUGGUGUUACUGCGAAGGGGGGACGGAGAAGGCUAUGUUGGCCGGGCGACGGUUGUCCCGGUUUAAGCGUGUAGGCUGGUUUUCCAGGCAAAUCCGGAAAAUCAAGGCUGAGGCGUGAUGACGAGGCACUACGGUGCUGAAGCAACAAAUGCCCUGCUUCCAGGAAAAGCCUCUAAGCAUCAGGUAACAUCAAAUCGUACCCCAAACCGACACAGGUGGUCAGGUAGAGAAUACCAAGGCGCUUGAGAGAACUCGGGUGAAGGAACUAGGCAAAAUGGUGCCGUAACUUCGGGAGAAGGCACGCUGAUAUGUAGGUGAAGUCCCUCGCGGAUGGAGCUGAAAUCAGUCGAAGAUACCAGCUGGCUGCAACUGUUUAUUAAAAACACAGCACUGUGCAAACACGAAAGUGGACGUAUACGGUGUGACGCCUGCCCGGUGCCGGAAGGUUAAUUGAUGGGGUUAGCGCAAGCGAAGCUCUUGAUCGAAGCCCCGGUAAACGGCGGCCGUAACUAUAACGGUCCUAAGGUAGCGAAAUUCCUUGUCGGGUAAGUUCCGACCUGCACGAAUGGCGUAAUGAUGGCCAGGCUGUCUCCACCCGAGACUCAGUGAAAUUGAACUCGCUGUGAAGAUGCAGUGUACCCGCGGCAAGACGGAAAGACCCCGUGAACCUUUACUAUAGCUUGACACUGAACAUUGAGCCUUGAUGUGUAGGAUAGGUGGGAGGCUUUGAAGUGUGGACGCCAGUCUGCAUGGAGCCGACCUUGAAAUACCACCCUUUAAUGUUUGAUGUUCUAACGUUGACCCGUAAUCCGGGUUGCGGACAGUGUCUGGUGGGUAGUUUGACUGGGGCGGUCUCCUCCUAAAGAGUAACGGAGGAGCACGAAGGUUGGCUAAUCCUGGUCGGACAUCAGGAGGUUAGUGCAAUGGCAUAAGCCAGCUUGACUGCGAGCGUGACGGCGCGAGCAGGUGCGAAAGCAGGUCAUAGUGAUCCGGUGGUUCUGAAUGGAAGGGCCAUCGCUCAACGGAUAAAAGGUACUCCGGGGAUAACAGGCUGAUACCGCCCAAGAGUUCAUAUCGACGGCGGUGUUUGGCACCUCGAUGUCGGCUCAUCACAUCCUGGGGCUGAAGUAGGUCCCAAGGGUAUGGCUGUUCGCCAUUUAAAGUGGUACGCGAGCUGGGUUUAGAACGUCGUGAGACAGUUCGGUCCCUAUCUGCCGUGGGCGCUGGAGAACUGAGGGGGGCUGCUCCUAGUACGAGAGGACCGGAGUGGACGCAUCACUGGUGUUCGGGUUGUCAUGCCAAUGGCACUGCCCGGUAGCUAAAUGCGGAAGAGAUAAGUGCUGAAAGCAUCUAAGCACGAAACUUGCCCCGAGAUGAGUUCUCCCUGACUCCUUGAGAGUCCUGAAGGAACGUUGAAGACGACGACGUUGAUAGGCCGGGUGUGUAAGCGCAGCGAUGCGUUGAGCUAACCGGUACUAAUGAACCGUGAGGCUUAACCUU